rnacentral:rRNA from 1 species
UACGAAGGGGGCUAGCGUUGUUCGGAAUUACUGGGCGUAAAGCGCACGUAGGCGGAUAUUUAAGUUAGGGGUGAAAUCCCAGGGCUCAACCCUGGAACUGCCUUUAAUACUGGGUAUCUCGAGUCCGAGAGAGGUGAGUGGAAUUCCGAGUGUAGAGGUGAAAUUCGUAGAUAUUCGGAAGAACACCAGUGGCGAAGGCGGCUCACUGGCCCGGUACUGACGCUGAGAUACGAAAGCGUGGGGAGCAAACAGG